GUUUAUAUAGUUUAAUUAAAACCUUACACUUUCACUGUAAAAAAAAAAUAAAUAAUCAAUUUUUAUAAAUA
rnacentral:tRNA from 1 species